rnacentral:rRNA from 1 species
UACGUAGGGUGCAAGCGUUGUCCGGAAUUAUUGGGCGUAAAGAGCUCGUAGGCGGCUUGUCGCGUCGGCUGUGAAAACCUGGGGCUUAACCCUGACGCUUGCGGUCGAUACGGGCAUGACUGGAGUUCGGCAGGGGAGACUGGAAUUCCUGGUGUAGCGGUGAAAUGCGCAGAUAUCAGGAGGAACACCGGUGGCGAAGGCGGGUCUCUGGGCCGAUACUGACGCUGAGGAGCGAAAGCGUGGGGAGCGAACAGG